CACACAGCACACAGGACCACUCAGCUACUAAGCGAAACCCGCACCAGAGCACUCGGAAAAGCCCGCCUUCCCUUCUGACUGGCAGGUCCGCCUAAAGGCUCUGAUUGGCCAGUAGGUCUUGAGUGACUCGAGCACCUCCCCUGGACUUAGAGUGUGCUGAAGAUGAAACACAUGCCAGUAAUCUUUGGGGAAAUGAUUGAGGGAAAAGGCCACUGAAAACGACCACAUAGUCAGCUGUACGUUAGAUGACCAUGGAGACAGAAAUGGAAAGAAAAUAGCCUAAGAAAAAGCUCAGAAACCCUGAAGUUUCCAGAGUGAAGUCUGUGAGUCUAUCCAGGUGCAAUGCUGCAUACCUAUAAUAACAGCAUCAAGAGGCUGAGGCAGGAGGAUUGCAAGCUUGAAGCCAGCAUGAACUACAUAGAACUACAUACAUGAACUCUGUCUGAUAAAAUAAAAUAAAGGAACAGUUAAUAGGCCCA